rnacentral:rRNA from 1 species
GAUGAACGCUGGCGGCGUGCCUAAUACAUGCAAGUCGAGCGAACGGACGAGAAGCUUGCUUCUCUGAUGUUAGCGGCGGACGGGUGAGUAACACGUGGAUAACCUACCUAUAAGACUGGGAUAACUUCGGGAAACCGGAGCUAAUACCGGAUAAUAUUUUGAACCGCAUGGUUCAAAAGUAAAAGACGGUCUUGCUGUCACUUAUAGAUGGAUCCGCGCUGCAUUAGCUAGUUGGUAAGGUAACGGCUUACCAAGGCAACGAUGCAUAGCCGACCUGAGAGGGUGAUCGGCCACACUGGAACUGAGACACGGUCCAGACUCCUACGGGAGGCAGCAGUAGGGAAUCUUCCGCAAUGGGCGAAAGCCUGACGGAGCAACGCCGCGUGAGUGAUGAAGGUCUUCGGAUCGUAAAACUCUGUUAUUAGGGAAGAAUAUAUGUGUAAGUAACUGUGCACAUCUUGACGGUACCUAAUCAGAAAGCCACGGCUAACUACGUGCCAGCAGCCGCGGUAAUACGUAGGUGGCAAGCGUUAUCCGGAAUUAUUGGGCGUAGCGCGCGUAGGCGGUUUUUUAAGUCUGAUGUGAAAGCCCACGGCUCAACCGUGGAGGGUCAUUGGAAACUGGAAAACUUGAGUGCAGAAGAGGAAAGUGGAAUUCCAUGUGUAGCGGUGAAAUGCGCAGAGAUAUGGAGGAACACCAGUGGCGAAGGCGACUUUCUGGUCUGUAACUGACGCUGAUGUGCGAAAGCGUGGGGAUCAAACAGGAUUAGAUACCCUGGUAGUCCACGCCGUAAACGAUGAGUGCUAAGUGUUAGGGGGUUUCCGCCCCUUAGUGCUGCAGCUAACGCAUUAAGCACUCCGCCUGGGGAGUACGACCGCAAGGUUGAAACUCAAAGGAAUUGACGGGGACCCGCACAAGCGGUGGAGCAUGUGGUUUAAUUCGAAGCAACGCGAAGAACCUUACCAAAUCUUGACAUCCUUUGACAACUCUAGAGAUAGAGCCUUCCCCUUCGGGGGACAAAGUGACAGGUGGUGCAUGGUUGUCGUCAGCUCGUGUCGUGAGAUGUUGGGUUAAGUCCCGCAACGAGCGCAACCCUUAAGCUUAGUUGCCAUCAUUAAGUUGGGCACUCUAAGUUGACUGCCGGUGACAAACCGGAGGAAGGUGGGGAUGACGUCAAAUCAUCAUGCCCCUUAUGAUUUGGGCUACACACGUGCUACAAUGGACAAUACAAAGGGCAGCGAAACCGCGAGGUCAAGCAAAUCCCAUAAAGUUGUUCUCAGUUCGGAUUGUAGUCUGCAACUCGACUACAUGAAGCUGGAAUCGCUAGUAAUCGUAGAUCAGCAUGCUACGGUGAAUACGUUCCCGGGUCU